CAAGUCGAGCGAUCAAUGGGAGCUUGCUCCCUGAGAUUAGCGGCGGACGGGUGAGUAACACGUGGGCAACCUGCCUAUAAGACUGGGAUAACUUCGGGAAACCGGAGCUAAUACCGGAUACGUUCUUUUCUCGCAUGAGAGAAGAUGGAAAGACGGUUUACGCUGUCACUUAUAGAUGGGCCCGCGGCGCAUUAGCUAGUUGGUGAGGUAAUGGCUCACCAAGGCGACGAUGCGUAGCCGACCUGAGAGGGUGAUCGGCCACACUGGGACUGAGACACGGCCCAGACUCCUACGGGAGGCAGCAGUAGGGAAUCUUCCGCAAUGGACGAAAGUCUGACGGAGCAACGCCGCGUGAACGAAGAAGGCCUUCGGGUCGUAAAGUUCUGUUGUUAGGGAAGAACAAGUACCAGAGUAACUGCUGGUACCUUGACGGUACCUAACCAGAAAGCCACGGCUAACUACGUGCCAGCAGCCGCGGUAAUACGUAGGUGGCAAGCGUUGUCCGGAAUUAUUGGGCGUAAAGCGCGCGCAGGUGGUUCUUUAAGUCUGAUGUGAAAGCCCACGGCUCAACCGUGGAGGGUCAUUGGAAACUGGGGAACUUGAGUGCAGAAGAGGAAAGUGGAAUUCCAAGUGUAGCGGUGAAAUGCGUAGAGAUUUGGAGGAACACCAGUGGCGAAGGCGACUUUCUGGUCUGUAACUGACACUGAGGCGCGAAAGCGUGGGGAGCAA
rnacentral:rRNA from 1 species